rnacentral:lncRNA from 1 species
AUGUUUGUUGUAACGCAGCUAGAAGAGCCUUUGUUUCCGCUUCCAAAGGAGUGGCCGCAUGAUCCAGAAGUAAAGAACCCCAAACUUUUGGUAAUCCUUGGUAAUCUCUGAUGAUCCAUCCACCUAUUGCCUGUAGAUUAUGAAUAUGGAAACCUGCAUCAAAAUUGCAUUUAACAUAGUGUUGGAUAGGUGCUGUCCACUUUUUCGUAUCAUGACUGGGUUGCCGUUGUGUUGUUGACAAAAAUCUUUGUUGUCUAGUAGCCUCAACCCAUUCUUUAGUUUCCGCCUGCGCUUGUAAAACUGUUUUUGAAACACUCUCUCGAAACUUGUUGAAAAUUAUAUUGUUCCUCGAUUUCCAUAUUCGCCAAAGUAGCCAGAAAGGUAGAAGUUUUUGAACAUCUGUCAAGGAGUUGUUCUGUAUGAGAUUUAGAAUAUUGGAGAUGUUUUCCUCCACAUCUUCAGACACCCCGUGAAGCCUA